AUACGGAGGGUGCGAGCGUUGUUCGGAAUUAUUGGGCGUAAGGCGCGUGUAGGCGGUUUGUUAAGUCUGAUGUGAAAGCCCCGGGCUCAACCUGGGAAGUGCAUUGGAUACUGGCAGACUUGAAUACGGGAGAGGGCAGUGGAAUUCCUGGUGUAGGAGUGAAAUCCGUAGAUAUCCGGAGGAACACCGGAGGCGAAGGCGAUCUCUUGGUUCGAUACUGACGCUGAGGCGCGAAAGCGUGGGGAUC
rnacentral:rRNA from 1 species